AACGAACGCUGGCGGCAGGCCUAACACAUGCAAGUCGAACGCUCUAGCAAUAGGGAGUGGCGCACGGGUGAGUAACGCGUAGGAAUCUACCCAUUAGCCUGGGAUAACAGCGGGAAACUGCUGCUAAUACCGGCUACGUCCCUCCGGGGGGAAAGGUUUACAACUAAUGGAUGAGCUGGCGUUAGAUUAGUUAGUUGGUGAGGUAAUGGGUCACAAAGGCUCCGAUCUAUAGCCGGUCUGAGAGGACAAUCGGCCACACUGGGACUGAGACACGGCCCAGACUCCUACGGGAGGAAGCAUUGGGGAAUAUUGGGCAAUGGGCGCAAGCCUGACCCAGCCAUGCCGCGUGAGUGAUGAAGGCCUUAGGGUUGUAAAGCUCUUUUAGUAGUGAAGAUGAUGACAGUAGCUACAGAAAAAGCCCCGGCUAACUUCGUGCCAGCAGCCGCCGUAAGAC
rnacentral:rRNA from 1 species